rnacentral:misc_RNA from 1 species
GCAAACUUGGUCAUUUAGAGGAAGUAAAAGUCGUAACAAGGUUUCCGUAGGUGAACCUGCGGAAGGAUCAUUAUUGAAUAUGCUUGAUGGGUUGUUGCUGGCCUCUUGGGGCAUGUGCACACCUGUCUUGACUCUAUUCAUCCACCUGUGCACCUAUUGUAGUUUUCUGUUUUGAAAGGUCAAAGAAAGCGGCUUCACUCGGUCAAAUACAGAUCGGAUUUGGGACUUGCCUUUGGGCUGUUCUUUUCAAGUCGUGGAAUAUUGUACCUUUUGAAAUUGGGAAACUAUGUACUUUAUCACAAACCAUGUAGUAUGUUGUCAGAAUGUAUUCACUGGGACUUUGUACCCAUAAAACUUUAUACAACUUUCAGCAACGGAUCUCUUGGCUCUCGCAUCGAUGAAGAACGCAGC